CUGGAGCAGCAGCUCCAUGGCGUCGAUCUGGAGUGCGAGGGCAGCAGAGGAAGCGAGGUCCCGAGCUCCUGUGUGACCGUCCUCUCCCAGAGCUCCAUCCCAACCGCCAUUUUCCCCUCCCCCAAGAUGCACUUCCUCCAUCUUGUGUGCAUAGGCCCUCACGCACACAAGGACAUGGCUACUAUGUAGAGCUGCUCCAUAGUUGAAGAAAACAGUCCCAAAGGCCAGGUUUGCACAUCACUUGUUUGUGUAAAUGCUCGAUGAGCAGUACUACUCAGGGAACGGCAACAUGAUAAACAUAGGAGAAAACCCAAGGGCUAUUUCAGAAGGAUGAUGAGAAGGUGCAGUGUUAACUAUGGGUUGCAAUAUUCUUCAUGGAAUUUUGGGCCUUGUGGAAAUAAUGAUUCUUGUGUGAAAUCCGCUCCCUUAUAUUUAUUCAGAGCAUGUAGCACUCACCUGGAUUCUAUGGAUACAAUGUAGAUCCUUGUAACUAUGGUAGUACUUCGCCAGGUGGCGCAUAUGAGCAUGAGUACAACUAUGAUAAGCUUCCUUGGGACCAUUGACAUCAUGUGCGGCGAGUGGUUUCUAUAACCACUACGAGGACCAAUUUGUCAUGAUUGACUUGUUGGACAAUGAGAUUGUCAAGCUCGAGAACUUCCCUUUGAUGUCGUUUCCCCUCACAGAAGAAGUUCUGAAGAUAGUGUUGUCAUACUCUGUGGGCAUGGCUGUUGCUUAUUAUUCACCACCGUUAACCAAUUAGGUACAAUGUCCAUCUACUGAUAUGCUGCUACAAGAAUGUUAUCUUUCAAGACACAUCCUUGAGAUGUUGGCAUGUCAAUUACCCAUUCUAGAAAUAUCCAACAUGCCAAACAGGUAUGAUGGGUGGAGUACUAACGCUAACAUGGCAUCACAUAGACGUUCUAUACAAAAACGCUGAAAUAUCGCAGGGAACAAUACUACACUAUGGCUUCUCUUUGCUUCUCGAAUACACGAUGUAGCAUUCCGUGUUUUACUUGCUUUCCUGUAAAUACGAUUUGAUACCUAUCUUUACCAAUCAUAUGCUACUCAGAUGUCCAGAAUAGCCUUGAGAUCAGAUUGACAUGAAUCUCUCAUGUAACUUGGAUAAUUUACCGACCAUAUUCUACUUGAGUAAUAUUACCAUAGUUCUCUCUUCGAAUAUAUAUAUAUAUAUAUACUUUCCCUCUUUCUUGCUGCAAGCACUUAUGAAGAUAUGUAGUCCUAAUAUGGUUUGGUGCCGGUUUGGUUAAGUAAAGCGUGAUACAGAUAUAAUAUAAAUCAUUCAGUGCUCUCAGUUGGGGUUUACCUUUGUUAUUUUUGCUCAAUGGUCUUGUGUGUGGGGAAGUAGAAACAACUUUUGGUGACCUGACAGGUGUUUUGCCUUUUUUUUUUAUUGCAACUGCCCUUUUGUAUGCAAAUAAGAUCAACAUUUGUCUUUCAUCACAGAAUUAAUCCUCCACUUUAGUGAAGUUCAUAGAUAUAUCUGACAGAUAGUCUCUUAAUUCUUAACUCUUCAUGCAAACUUUCAUUGUAGUUCAUGGAGAAGUUCACUCUUUAAUCAAGCACUGCUCGAACUAAAGCACUUUUAGAGGCAUCUUGCUUAAGAUCCACAUAUAUUUAUGUGUAUCAUUUGUGUUUAAAUAACUAUCUGAAUAUAUGCACUGACAUUUUGUAAGCUGUCAGUUUGGUGAGCUGAGUGUUGGUCAGGUUUCCAUUACGUUUGAUGCUGACUGUAUAUCAAAUCAAAAAACAACCAUGUACCAGUAUCUUAGGGGUAUUACUGUAGUAAUAAUGUGAAUGUGUAUGAUCGGUUUCCCUCUGAUUUGGUAUCAUUCCCAUAGAUAUUAGAAUUUGGAGUAAUGUGAAUGUGUGUGGUCCGUUCUCUACUAUGUGUGCCAAUCUGGCAAAGAAAAGAAGUGGAAGAAUCUCACCGAAGAGUUUCAUGAAGGAGAACAAGGUUGGAAUUGUUGGUGUUCCACUGGACUAAUGAAGAAGACCAAGGUGAUAGAGGACAGCUGGGUUCCAGUCUGGGAGGAGUUCACCUUGAUCCGUGUGCAGGUGCACAAGUACAACAUGUCGGAGAAGGACAAAUUGGCACAAGAGGGGUUGAUUCUGCUUUGGUUUCAAAUCCACAGUGUGCACAGGCUGUUGUUGGUGGUGUUGAGCAUGAGGUAUGUUCCAAUGAUACUUUCUCUAGCAUUCCUCGUGCUUUUAUUGUAUUUUAUCCCACCAUAUACAAUUUUUAUUGAUGUAUUAUCUGCUUCAAAUUGCUAAUAAAAAUGCUUCAGGUCAAAGGUUAGGCAAUAUAUGCUUUUGUGACUUUGGUGGAUGGUAUUCCUUAUAGUGAAGAACUAUGAAAAGGCCACAUAGCAGUAGUCUAAAAUCAGGUAUAUCAAUGGAUUACACCCUUUCAAUAAAAAGUCUGAAGAAGUUGCAUUAUUUUGUAGACAACCAGAGCAAAGGCUGCUGCUGAUUUCUGGGUUCCAGGAAUAGGAAGGAAUGCUUAUGUUUAAAAGGAUCAGGUUAGUCUUUCCAUGAUCCCUGACCGCUGAAACUCAUUUGAGAUUAGAACUUAACAUUGGGUUCGAACCACUAUAUAUUAUGUUGAGAACUUGAUAUAGCAGGUCCACAAUACUUUAAUAGGUUGAAGUUGUAGGUUGACACAUCAGAAAGCACCAUGAGAGUAUGCAAGGUCCUCCAUUCUAAUGGCUUUGGUGUUCCAUCUUCUCAAAGCAAAGCCAUAGACCAUGGAUCUGUUCUCCGCUCUAAUGUGGCAGCAACUGUCAGUUGGCAAGAGAGCAGGUCGGGAGGGGGCUACCUUCUGGACGGUUUGGAUUUAGAAUGCCCAAACCCUAAUUCUCUGUUUAACCCCUUUGCCUCAUUUAUAUGUAUUGUUGAGCUCCUCAGUUAUGUUAGCUAUUUAGCUUAGACAUCAUCUGAGUAUUUGUUAAAUAUGGUCCAAGUGUUAUUUGUUAAAUACUCAUAUUGGUUUUCUGUCUUCCUCAAUACAUUGUCUCAAUUUGACCAAGCAGAAGCUCUCAAACAAUGCAGCAUAUAUGCAUGCCCUGUAAUGGUCAGAAAAAGAGUAGAACUAAACAUAUUAUUGCAAUAUGGGCUAUUUACUAUGGUGCGGCCUUUUAUUCUAUU